rnacentral:lncRNA from 1 species
CCCAAGCAGAAUAACCAGUCAUCACCAUGCAGAAUAAGGUAUGGGGAAGCUGGAACAUACAUUCAGAAGUCAAUGGAAAAGACCAAAUAUGCACAUUUGGGAAACUCAACAGACAUUUGAGAAGAUCUCAUCUCUUUGGACAUGUUCUAUGGUGAUCAUGGUAUGUUCCUCAGCAGCUCAAAAAACUUCUGUGGUGGAUGCUGUGAUGCGCUCUCC